AAUGAAGAAGGAAAUGAAAGCUACGUUGUAACAGUAGUGAAUUGCGUGAGUUGCGUGGUGAGUACAAUUUUCUUCAAUUACGACGAUAUUCAACCGUAUAAUUAGUACAUUUGUGAGACGUAAAAUCAAAAACUGAGAAAUAUUGUAGAGUUGCUUAACAGGAUGAAGGUAAAAGAUGAAAAAAUAAGAUACGAGUGGCUCGUAUACGAACAUAUUAUCUACCUGUAUAAUUAAUUAACCUGAUAAGAAGAACAAAUCGUCAUUGUUCUUCGUUAGAAAGCAGGAAGAAUUAGCAAAUUGAAAAUGCGAGGGAAGAGAAAUUUUUCAAAACGGAAUUUAACACAACAAUUUGGAUUUAAUUAGAAUUCUUAAUGCUAAAUAGGAUAAUUUCUUUUAAAAUAAGGGACUGAAAUAUUUCCGAGAAUUUCCUAAGAUAUACCACAAAGGGAAGGAGAGUUGCGUUAAGGUAUUCCAUGAGGUAGAUAUUGCUCGAGACAACGACGUUAUAAUUUUGAUUGAAACCAGGAUCCAGUCUCGUACGCUAGUAGGGUUGUGUAACGAGUAAUGGGAGUAUCAUAUGACAAAAGGUUGCGUAUGAUGUAGAGUGUGUGUAUAUGCGGAUUCGUGUCGUGCUUCCUUCGUAUCGUUACUCUGUACUCUUGAAUGAUUUAAACGAAGCCUCAGACGAGUCGCUUUUGCCUUUAUUUAUUCAAGAUCUAAUAACAGAAUGUGUUACUCAUUUCACCGGAAUGACUUUUUGGCUUUUGUGUACCGUAGUGCGGGGUACAUUUUUUAUGAAUUUAAAAAAAAAAAAGAACGAAAAAAGAAGAAGAAAAAAACAGAGUGAAAAAACAAAACAAGAGAGAACGAGAAACCAAAAAAGAAAAAGGAAGAAAAAAGAAAGACUCGCCAUUCGGGCGCAACGAAUUAUUAACGAUCGAUCGGAAACCUUUGCUAUAGAGAAUUUUUUUUUCUUUUUCGAGGAAAAAAAGGAAAAAGGAAUCAUUCGAAAAAAAAGAAAAAGAAGAAAAAAGAAGAAGGAAGGGGUAAACGAUUUUAUUUUAACGAGGCUUAAUUACAGAGGGAUUUAAAAGGAAGUACGCGAAAAUGUACAGGGGUUCUAUUUUUGCUCGGCGCUCAUUUAAGGAAGGAUAAUCCUUAUUCUUUAGCUUACUACGUUCGUUGGCGAGCUAAUAUCUCGCUUGUGCCAUGAGAAUCCUUACUUUUAUUUAAUUAACGACACGCUCGACUUAAUUUUUAGUGAAAUAGAUUGGAAAUUAUUCAUUAUUAUAUUAAUACGGUUGGAAUUUCUUUUCUCUAUCGUACGUUCUUCCUGUACGGAAUGAAAGAAUUUAUGGGAUGGGAAAGAAGAAAAGGAAUCGUGAAUGAAUUAAUAUGCACGAGGAAUAUUUUUUACACGUAGAUAAUAAUUCAUUCCUGUCUUUUUAAAUAAUUUUCUUUCUUCUUCGACGUACGUAAUUAGAGUCACUAAUGAUUAUCGGUGACUCGUUCUACGACGACAACCACUAUAACCAAGCAACUUUGUCUUUGCGAGCAUUACACUAUUUAACAUUCUCUCUCUGUCUCUCUCUCUCUCUCUCUCUCUCUCUCUGACUCUGUCUAUGUCUAUCUCUCUUGUGCUUCUUCGAGCUUCCUUCGACUUGCAAAUUAGCUUUCACGACGUUCGCUGAUCUCUUUGUGAGAUCCUCUUCAAUAGCUCACUAGGGUACUAUUUCUCGGUAUGUCGUAUAUAUCUAUUUUAUUGGAUUUCGACAAAUAUAACAGUCUUUAAAAGUAACUAAUUAUAUGGAGAUGUAAAAGUGGAAUAUAUUUAUCUAAAACAUUUUUUAUGUAUAAGCAAGAUAAAUUCAUUGUAUUCCAUGGCUAUUCUGAAAUUAUGCAAAAAAAAAAAAAAAAUUCGUAAAGUAUAUUCGUUUGCAGAACGUCAUUGAUAAUUUCAGAAUUAUCUCGAAUCACAAUGGUUUUCGGAAAGCCGCAAUAAUUUUAUAACCCUAUUAGAAUUCUAUAUUUAAAACAAAGUCUGCGUCUCGUAGAAUUUCAUGAUGAAUAUCAUGAUGAAGAUGAAAAUUUGAGCGAUGAUGAAACUCUUGCUUAUUAAUUAUUCCCACUCUUUAGCAUUGCCAAUUCGCUUUAUCGAACGUUUUAGGAUAUAGAAAGCGUAGAAUAAUUAUAUUCCACGAAAUAAACGAUGAAAUAGCAAAUGAAUAAUAAUCAUUUCUCUUUCGAACAAUUUCGAUUCAAAGUUCGAAAAUUUACCAAAACAACAUAUGAGAUUAGUCAAAUGACAAAUGCCGAGGAAAUGACCAAAAACAAAACAAAAGGAACAAAAAAAGGAAAAGAAGAAAAAAUAAUUGAAAAAAUAAAAAGGAACGAAAAAAAAAGAAAAAAUGGGUCCAUCUCGAAUGACACUCGUAUUUUCGAAAAAAGAAAUAACUCACACGGUGUUCAUUCGGAAGCUAUUUUUAUGGUUAAAGCGAAGGAAAAGGGGAUCAUACGUCCUAAGAUGUGCCACUGUGUCCUCCAUUUUGUUAAGCGCUCGGUCUUCUGGGAGUGAAGUUAACAUAAGGAGAGAAAGACGAGAGAAAAGAGAUGAAAAAGGAACAGGAAAAGAAAAAGAGAAAAAAAUAAUAAUCAGAAUAAAAGUGUACGGAGACAGGUCUCUAUAGAAUAUAUUAUCGACACGGUCGAAUUCAACAAGUGGUCUCGAAUAAAACGUAUUAAUUAAUUGACCAUUAAUGGAGUUGAAUAAAACUGUUGGAGAAGGGAUAAAUAUUCGAUAUUUUGUAGUGACGAUAUUAUAUAACAGUAAUAGAAAAAGAAAUAAACAAACAAAGAAUAGAUCGUUGAAGUGAAGGAGGUGUGUAAACCUGUAAAAAUUGAAGAUAAACGAGUAUUAAAGUUUUGCAAGGACGAUGAAAGUGUGUUGAUGUAUAUUGUAGGAAACAAGACAUAUAUUAGGUGAUAUCUCGAGGAAAAUACGAUAUCAGAAUGAAGCAAUAUCGAAGGGAUAUAGGUUCGAGUGUAUGUGAAAAUUGCAUUUUUACUGCUGCAAGGACGAACGAUAGUAUGUCCUUUAAAACAACAACAACAAGAACGACAUCCAAAAAAAAACGUAAUAUUGUUUCCGUUCCAGAUAACUCAAUGUUCAAGAUUUAGAUUGGAUGGUUUGGGAAUGGGGAUCGUUAAUUUAGAAAAAAAAUAAAAUAAAAUAAAUUAACUUUCAUGCUGUGUCCAAUAAUUCACGCUUAAAGUGAUUAGAAAUAUUUCACUUCUGAAUUGCAAUUGGAUCCGAUUGCGUGAAUGAGUAAUUGCACAUGUUGGAAUGUCACGUACGUACAUUCUCUAAAUUCUAACAAUUUCAUUAUAAAGUGAAAUUGUGACUCUUUCUUCCUUUUUGUUGGUUCUAAUUUUUGUCGAGUGACAUCUUUAUUAGGUAGGAAAAAAAAUCGAAAUUGUAAGUAUACAGUAAGAAAUUUAUACUUGUUAGAAUGUCAUGUUCAUAAUUAAGCGAUAUUUUAAAAUUACAUCCGUUGACUAUCCUUCAUUCAGAAAUAUAUGUAUGUAUGCAUUUAUGUAUGUACAUAUACACGUUGGUAUUAUUUCACCUCGAAAAAAAUAAAACGAAACUAGCCGUUAUAAAUUUGUCGGUACAGUCUGCCAAGAACCGAUAAAAUACGAGGCGUCGCGACGAAAUUUGUAUUGAUUUUCUCGUACAUCGAAAGUCAGUUCAGAUAGAACGAUAUUUCAAUGGUUUUGUUUUUGGUUUGAUUUAAACGAUACCAAUUACGAGCGUUUCUCGACGAAGACGUGCCCUCGAAAAAAUAAAAAAAGAAAAAAUAAAGAAAAAAGAUAAUAAGAAAUAAAAACAAAAAAGAAAUA